rnacentral:rRNA from 1 species
GAACGCUGGCGGCAUGCCUAACACAUGCAAGUCGAACGAGACCUUCGGGUCUAGUGGCGCACGGGUGCGUAACGCGUGGGAAUCUGCCCUUAGGUUCGGAAUAACUUCGGGAAACUGAAGCUAAUACCGGAUGAUGACGUAAGUCCAAAGAUUUAUCGCCUAAGGAUGAGCCCGCGUUGGAUUAGCUAGUUGGUGAGGUAAAGGCUCACCAAGGCGACGAUCCAUAGCUGGUCUGAGAGGAUGAUCAGCCACACUGGGACUGAGACACGGCCCAGACUCCUACGGGAGGCAGCAGUGGGGAAUAUUGGACAAUGGGCGAAAGCCUGAUCCAGCAAUGCCGCGUGAGUGAUGAAGGCCUUAGGGUUGUAAAGCUCUUUUACCCGGGAUGAUAAUGACAGUACCGGGAGAAUAAGCUCCGGCUAACUCCGUG